rnacentral:rRNA from 1 species
AUAAUUAGUGGCAGACGGGUGAGUAAUGCAUAGGAAUCUACCUAGUAGUAUGGGAUAGCCACUAGAAAUGGUGGGUAAUACUGUAUAAUCCCUGCGGGGGAAAGAUUUAUCGCUAUUAGAUGAGCCUAUGUUAGAUUAGCUAGUUGGUAGGGUAAAGGCCUACCAAGGCGAUGAUCUAUAGCUGGUCUGAGAGGAUGAUCAGCCACACUGGAACUGAGAUACGGUCCAGACUCCUACGGGAGGCAGCAGUGGGGAAUAUUGGACAAUGGGCGCAAGCCUGAUCCAGCUAUGCCGCGUGAGUGAGGAAGGCCUUAGGGUUGUAAAACUCUUUCAGUAGGGAAGAUAAUGACGGUACCUACAGAAGAAGUCCCGGCAAACUCCGUGCCAGCAGCCGCGGUAAUACGGAGGGGGCAAGCGUUGUUCGGAAUUAUUGGGCGUAAAGGGCAUGUAGGCGGUUCGGUAAGUUAAAGGUGAAAUGCCAGGGCUUAACCCUGGAGCUGCU